rnacentral:lncRNA from 1 species
AUGGAGGCCCACUUCAGCUCCUGCUGGCAGCGUGGUGGCCGGCUGGGCCCUGGGAUCCACUGCUGGGAUCCGCAUCUCACAACUGAGGCUCUGGUCCUUCAUUGUGUGAAGAGUAAGAGGAAUGCCCUGGCCCUCAACUUUGAAAGACUUGUAAUGGAACCUCUAAGAAAACAUUACCCACCUGGACAAAUAAGAACCAUGCUGGAUGGUGCUGGAAGUUGUGGACAAGGUCACAGGAAGUUCCUUGCAAACGUCAGCAGAGAAGCUAAGGUAUAGACUUGGAGUAACCUCUCACUCUGAC